GACGAACGCUGGCGGCGUGCUUAACACAUGCAAGUCGAACGGUGAAGGUGGAGCUUGCUCCGCCGGAUCAGUGGCGAACGGGUGAGUAACACGUGGGCAACCUGCCCCUCACUUCGGGAUAACUCCGGGAAACCGGGGCUAAUACCGGAUACGACCUCCUUGGGCAUCCUUGGAAGUGGAAAGUUUUUCGGUGAGGGAUGGGCCCGCGGCCUAUCAGCUUGUUGGUGAGGUAGUGGCUCACCAAGGCGACGACGGGUAGCCGGCCUGAGAGGGCGACAGGCCACACUGGGAAGGAGACACGGCACAGACUCCUACGGGAGGCAGCAGUGGGGAAUAUUGCGCAAUGGGCGAAAGCCUGACGCAGCAACGCCGCGUGCGGGAUGAAGGCCUUCGGGUUGUAAACCGCUGUCAGCAGGGAAGAAGCCGCAAGGUGACGGUACCUGCAGAAGAAGCACCGGCUAACUACGUGCCAGCAGCCGCCGUAA
rnacentral:rRNA from 1 species